CCGGGUGGCAGUAGUGAGGAAUAUUGGUCAAUGGGCGCGAGCCUGAACCAGCCAAGUCGCGUGAGGGAAGACGGUCCUAUGGAUUGUAAACCUCUUUUGUCGGGGAACAAAAGACGCCACGCGUGGCGUUCCGAGAGUACCCGAAGAAAAAGCAUCGGCUAACUCCGCGCCAGCAGCCGCGGUAAUACGGAGGCUGCGAGCGUUAUCCGGAUUCAUUGGGUUUAAAGGGGGCGCAGGCGGACGAUCAAGUCAGCGGUAAAAUUGAGAGGCUCAAACGCUUCGAGCCGUUGAAACUGGUGUUCUUGAGUGAGUGAGAAGUAUGCGGAAUGCGUGGUGUAGCGGUGAAAUGCAGAGAGAUCACGCAGAACUCCGAUUGCGAAGGCAGCAUACCGGCGCUCAUCUGACGCUCAUGCACGAAAGUGUGGGUAUCGAACAGGAUUAGAUACCCUUGUAGUC
rnacentral:rRNA from 1 species